rnacentral:rRNA from 1 species
GGGGGAUAUUGCACAAUGGGGGGAAACCCUGAUGCAGCGACGCCGCGUGGAGGAAGAAGGUUUUCGGAUUGUAAACUCCUGUCGUUAGGGACGAUAAUGACGGUACCUAACAAGAAAGCACCGGCUAACUACGUGCCAGCAGCCGCGGUAAAACGUAGGGUGCAAGCGUUGUCCGGAAUUACUGGGUGUAAAGGGAGCGCAGGCGGACCGGCAAGUUGGAAGUGAAAACUAUGGGCUCAACCCAUAAAUUGCUUUCAAAACUGCUGGCCUUGAGUAGUGCAGAGGUAGGUGGAAUUCCCGGUGUAGCGGUGGAAUGCGUAGAUAUCGGGAGGAACACCAGUGGCGAAGGCGACCUACUGGGCACCAACUGACGCUGAGGCUCGAAAGCAUGGGUAGCAAACAGGAUUAGAUACCCUGGUAGUCCAUGCCGUAAACGAUGAUUACUAGGUGUUGGAGGAUUGACCCCUUCAGUGCCGCAGUUAACACAAUAAGUAAUCCACCUGGGGAGUACGACCGCAAGGUUGAAACUCAAAGGAAUUGACGGGGGCCCGCACAAGCAGUGGAGUAUGUGGUUUAAUUCGAAGCAACGCGAAGAACCUUACCAGGUCUUGACAUCCGAUGCAUAGCUUAGAGAUAAGUGAAGUCCUUCGGGACAUCGAGACAGGUGGUGCAUGGUUGUCGUCAGCUCGUGUCGUGAGAUGUUGGGUUAAGUCCCGCAACGAGCGCAACCCUUAUUGCCAGUUACUACGAAAGAGGACUCUGGCGAGACUGCCGUUGACAAAACGGAGGAAGGUGGGGAUGACGUCAAAUCAUCAUGCCCUUUAUGACCUGGGCUACACACGUACUACAAUGGCGUUUAACAAAGAGAAGCAAGACCGCGAGGUGGAGCAAAACUCAAAAGCAACGUCUCAGUUCAGAUUGCAGGCUGCAACUCGCCUGCAUGAAGUCGGAAUUGCUAGUAAUCGCGGAUCAGCAUGCCGCGGUGAAUACGUUCCCG